UACGUAGGGUGCAAGCGUUGUCCGGAAUUAUUGGGCGUAAAGAGCUCGUAGGUGGCCUGUCGCGUCGGCUGUGAAAACUCGGGGCUCAACUCCGAGCUUGCAGUCGAUACGGGCAGGCUAGAGUUCGGCAGGGGGAGACUGGAAUUCCUGGUGUAGCGGUGAAAUGCGCAGAUAUCAGGAGGAACACCGGUGGCGAAGGCGGGUCUCUGGGCAAUAACUGACGCUGAGGAGCGAAAGCGUGGGGAGCGAACAGG
rnacentral:rRNA from 1 species